rnacentral:tRNA from 1 species
AAGAAUAUAGUUAAUUAUAACAUUUGAUCUGCAAUCAAAAAGUAUUGUACAGCAAUUUUUCUUA